UUUCAUGUUUGAAGUUUGAAUCAUCGCAUCGUUUUAUUUUUUAUUUCAUGGUAUAUCCAUCGUCGUAUUUUGCCUAUUUUAGAUUCAUUUGGAUUUUGUUUGCUGUUUUUUUUGUGUAUUUUUAACACUUUUGUUUGUCAUUGUGAAUUUUAUAAACUUACCACAACGCAAAGUGAUUAUAAGGAAAUUAUUAUUGGAAAUUUCAGAUGUUAAAGAAAGAUAUUCAUUGAAGCUGAAAAUAAUUAGGGUAGAUCCAUAUUAUACAAUUCAGUCAUCAGAAUUGGAGUAAAGUGCAUUCCACCAAUUACUAUUAUAGAAUAGAUAUUUAUACAUAUUCUAGUGGAGUCUCACAGUUACUACUCUAAGUAGCAGAUGAAAGCAUGCAAAAGCCUUCAGGCACAUAAAAGCCUUCACAACUGGAUUUGUUUUGAAAGUUGGGAGUAAAAAUUGUUAAUGAUUUCUAUAUUAUUGUUGGAAAGGUUAAGCAUUCCCAAAAAGCUAAUGCUAAACCACUAGAUGCGUGGGUGAUAGCCAGUUCUGAUGGCAUAGCAAAUGCACAUUGUAUGUGUAUGGCCGGUAAUAGUGAAGUCUGCAGCCAUAUUGCAGCAAUAUUAUUUGCAGCUGAGUAUGCCCACAGCAAGACAGAAGAAGAACCCAAUGCAUGUACAGAUGUUACAGCUAUGUACAUGGUUUGGAGAUAGCAACAUAUGCAUUCUCUGAUGAAAAACUAAUGAGUUUUGAAACUGUUCGGUCAGUGCUUGUUGUGCUAUCUAAACGAACUGAAAUAUAAGAUGGCUUUGGCUUCGUGUUGCAGCGAUAUGAAAAUGGUUAUUAAUUUUUAAUUAUAAUGUACUUCGUCAUCAUCAGUAUUUGUAUUAGUCUUUUAAGUGUGUAUUUAUUGUGUUAAUUACUAUCAAUGUAUAACAAUAAUAAAGAUAUGCCUAUGUA